AGAGUUUGAUCAUGGCUCAGGAUGAACGCUAGCGGCAGGCUUAACACAUGCAAGUCGAGGGGUAGAGGUUGCUUGCAACCUUGAGACCGGCGCACGGGUGCGUAACGCGUAUGCAACCUACCUUUUACAGAGGGAUAGCCCAGAGAAAUUUGGAUUAAUACCUCAUAGUAUAUAACAUUCGCAUGUUUGUUAUAUUAAAGUUCCAACGGUAAAAGAUGGGCAUGCGUCCUAUUAGCUAGAUGGUAAGGUAACGGCUUACCAUGGCAACGAUAGGUAGGGGUCCUGAGAGGGAGAUCCCCCACACUGGUACUGAGACACGGACCAGACUCCUACGGGAGGCAGCAGUGAGGAAUAUUGGACAAUGGGCGCAAGCCUGAUCCAGCCAUGCCGCGUGCAGGAAGAAGCAUCUAUGGUGUGUAAACUGCUUUUGUACGGGAAGAAACACUCCUUCGUGAAGGAGCUUGACGGUACCGUAAGAAUAAGGAUCGGCUAACUCCGUGCCAGCAGCCGCGGUAAUACGGAGGAUCCAAGCGUUAUCCGGAAUCAUUGGGUUUAAAGGGUCCGUAGGCGGUUUGGUAAGUCAGUGGUGAAAGCCCGCAGCUCAACUGUGGAACGGCCAUUGAUACUGCCAGACUUGAAUUACAAGGAAGUAACUAGAAUAUGUAGUGUAGCGGUGAAAUGCUUAGAUAUUACAUGGAAUACCAAUUGCGAAGGCAGGUUACUACUUGUGGAUUGACGCUGAUGGACGAAAGCGUGGGGAGCGAACAGGAUUAGAUACCCUGGUAGUCCACGCCGUAAACGAUGGAUACUAGCUGUUGGGGGCAACUUCAGUGGCUAAGCGAAAGUGAU
rnacentral:rRNA from 1 species